rnacentral:rRNA from 1 species
CACGUAGGAGGCGAGCGUUGUCCGGAAUCAUUGGGCGUAAAGAGCGCGCAGGCGGCUUGGCAAGUCGGGUGUGAAAUCCCGGGGCUCAACCCCGUGACUGCAUCCGAUACUGUCAGGCUAGAGGUAGGUAGGGGAGAUCGGAAUUCCUGGUGUAGCGGUGAAAUGCGCAGAUAUCGUAAGGAAGACCAGUGGCGAAGGCGAGUCUCUGGACAGUUACUGACGCUGAGGCACGAAGGCCAGGGGAGCAAACGGG